AUCUACGGCCAUACCACCCUGAACACGCCCGAUCUCGUCUGAUCUUGGAAGCUAAGCAGGGUCGGGCCUGGUUAGUACUUGGAUGGGAGAUAUCACCUCACACCUGUCAGAAUGGUGAAAAUU
ensembl:rRNA 5S_rRNA 5S ribosomal RNA